AUUGAACGCUGGCGGCAGGCCUAACACAUGCAAGUCGAGCGGAUGAAGGGAGCUUGCUCCUGGAUUCAGCGGCGGACGGGUGAGUAAUGCCUAGGAAUCUGCCUGGUAGUGGGGGAUAACGUCCGGAAACGGGCGCUAAUACCGCAUACAUCCUGAGGGAGAAAGUGGGGGAUCUUCGGACCUCACGCUAUCAGAUGAGCCUAGGUCGGAUUAACUAGUUGGUGGGGUAAAGGCCUACCAAGGCGACGAUCCGUAACUGGUCUGAGAGGAUGAUCAGUCACACUGGAACUGAGACACGGUCCAGACUCCUACGGGAGGCAGCAGUGGGGAAUAUUGGACAAUGGGCGAAAGCCUGAUCCAGCCAUGCCGCGUGUGUGAAGAAGGUCUUCGGAUUGUAAAGCACUUUAAGUUGGGAGGAAGGGCAGUAAGUUAAUACCUUGCUGUUUUGACGUUACCAACAGAAUAAGCACCGGCUAACUUCGUG
rnacentral:rRNA from 1 species